GGGUUGUGAGGUUAAGCGACUAAGCGUACACGGUGGAUGCCCUGGCAGUCAGAGGCGAUGAAGGGCGUGCUAAUCUGCGAUAAGCGCCGGUAAGGUGAUAUGAACCGUUAUAACCGGCGAUACCCGAAUGGGGAAACCCAGUGUGACUCGUCACACUAUCAUUAACUGAAUCCAUAGGUUAAUGAGGCGAACCGGGGGAACUGAAACAUCUAAGUACCCCGAGGAAAAGAAAUCAACCGAGAUUCCCCCAGUAGCGGCGAGCGAACGGGGAGGAGCCCAGAGCCUGAAUCAGCAUGUGUGUUAGUGGAAGCGUCUGGAAAGGCGCGCGAUACAGGGUGACAGCCCCGUACACAAAAGCGCAUGUGCUGUGAGCUCGAUGAGUAGGGCGGGACACGUGGUAUCCUGUCUGAAUAUGGGGGGACCAUCCUCCAAGGCUAAAUACUCCUGACUGACCGAUAGUGAACCAGUACCGUGAGGGAAAGGCGAAAAGAACCCCGGCGAGGGGAGUGAAAAAGAACCUGAAACCGUGUACGUACAAGCAGUGGGNNNNNNNNNNNNNNNNNNNNNNNNNNNNCCUUUUGUAUAAUGGGUCAGCGACUUAUAUUCUGUAGCAAGGUUAACCGAAUAGGGGAGCCGGAGGGAAACCGAGUCUUAAUUGGGCGUUAAGUUGCAGGGUAUAGACCCGAAACCCGGUGAUCUAGCCAUGGGCAGGUUGAAGGUUGGGUAACACUAACUGGAGGACCGAACCGACUAAUGUUGAAAAAUUAGCGGAUGACCUGUGGCUGGGGGUGAAAGGCCAAUCAAACCGGGAGAUAGCUGGUUCUCCCCGAAAGCUAUUUAGGUAGCGCCUCGUGAAUUCAUCUCCGGGGGUAGAGCACUGUUUCGGCUAGGGGGCCAUCCCGGCUUACCAACCCGAUGCAAACUGCGAAUACCGGAGAAUGUUAUCACGGGAGACACACGGCGGGUGCUAACGUCCGUCGUGAAGAGGGAAACAACCCAGACCGCCAGCUAAGGUCCCAAAGUCAUGGUUAAGUGGGAAACGAUGUGGGAAGGCCCAGACAGCCAGGAUGUUGGCUUAGAAGCAGCCAUCAUUUAAAGAAAGCGUAAUAGCUCACUGGUCGAGUCGGCCUGCGCGGAAGAUGUAACGGGGCUAAACCAUGCACCGAAGCUGCGGCAGCGACACUGUGUGUUGUUGGGUAGGGGAGCGUUCUGUAAGCCUGCGAAGGUGGCCUGUGAGGGUUGCUGGAGGUAUCAGAAGUGCGAAUGCUGACAUAAGUAACGAUAAAGCGGGUGAAAAGCCCGCUCGCCGGAAGACCAAGGGUUCCUGUCCAACGUUAAUCGGGGCAGGGUGAGUCGACCCCUAAGGCGAGGCCGAAAGGCGUAGUCGAUGGGAAACGGGUUAAUAUUCCCGUACUUGGUGUUACUGCGAAGGGGGGACGGAGAAGGCUAUGUUGGCCGGGCGACGGUUGUCCCGGUUUAAGCGUGUAGGUGUGUGUUCCAGGUAAAUCCGGUUCACUUUAACACUGAGGCGUGACGACGAGGCACUACGGUGCUGAAGCAACAAAUGCCCUGCUUCCAGGAAAAGCCUCUAAGCAUCAGGUAACAUCAAAUCGUACCCCAAACCGACACAGGUGGUCAGGUAGAGAAUACCAAGGCGCUUGAGAGAACUCGGGUGAAGGAACUAGGCAAAAUGGUGCCGUAACUUCGGGAGAAGGCACGCUGACACGUAGGUGAAGUGAUUUACUCAUGGAGCUGAAGUCAGUCGAAGAUACCAGCUGGCUGCAACUGUUUAUUAAAAACACAGCACUGUGCAAACACGAAAGUGGACGUAUACGGUGUGACGCCUGCCCGGUGCCGGAAGGUUAAUUGAUGGGGUCAGCGCAAGCGAAGCUCCUGAUCGAAGCCCCGGUAAACGGCGGCCGUAACUAUAACGGUCCUAAGGUAGCGAAAUUCCUUGUCGGGUAAGUUCCGACCUGCACGAAUGGCGUAAUGAUGGCCAGGCUGUCUCCACCCGAGACUCAGUGAAAUUGAACUCGCUGUGAAGAUGCAGUGUACCCGCGGCAAGACGGAAAGACCCCGUGAACCUUUACUAUAGCUUGACACUGAACAUUGAGCCUUGAUGUGUAGGAUAGGUGGGAGGCUUUGAAGUGUGGACGCCAGUCUGCAUGGAGCCGACCUUGAAAUACCACCCUUUAAUGUUUGAUGUUCUAACGUGGACCCGUUACCCGGGUUGCGGACAGUGUCUGGUGGGUAGUUUGACUGGGGCGGUCUCCUCCUAAAGAGUAACGGAGGAGCACGAAGGUUGGCUAAUCCUGGUCGGACAUCAGGAGGUUAGUGCAAUGGCAUAAGCCAGCUUGACUGCGAGCGUGACGGCGCGAGCAGGUGCGAAAGCAGGUCAUAGUGAUCCGGUGGUUCUGAAUGGAAGGGCCAUCGCUCAACGGAUAAAAGGUACUCCGGGGAUAACAGGCUGAUACCGCCCAAGAGUUCAUAUCGACGGCGGUGUUUGGCACCUCGAUGUCGGCUCAUCACAUCCUGGGGCUGAAGUAGGUCCCAAGGGUAUGGCUGUUCGCCAUUUAAAGUGGUACGCGAGCUGGGUUUAGAACGUCGUGAGACAGUUCGGUCCCUAUCUGCCGUGGGCGCUGGAGAACUGAGGGGGGCUGCUCCUAGUACGAGAGGACCGGAGUGGACGCAUCACUGGUGUUCGGGUUGUCAUGCCAAUGGCACUGCCCGGUAGCUAAAUGCGGAAGAGAUAAGUGCUGAAAGCAUCUAAGCACGAAACUUGCCCCGAGAUGAGUUCUCCCUGAGACUUAAAGUCUCCUGAAGGAACGUUGAAGACGACGACGUUGAUAGGCCGGGUGUGUAAGCGCAGCGAUGCGUUGAGCUAACCGGUACUAAUGAACCGUGAGGCUUAACCUUACAACGCCGAAG
rnacentral:rRNA from 1 species